rnacentral:rRNA from 1 species
AGGACGAACGCUGGCGGCAUGCCUAACACAUGCAAGUCGAACGCUCUUGGGGCUUCGGUUCCAAGGGAGUGGCGCACGGGUGAGUAGCGCGUGGGAACCUGCCCUGGAGUGGGGGAUAACCGAGGGAAACUUCGGCUAAUACCGCAUACGCCGGGAAACCGGGAAAGAUUUAUCGCUCUAGGAGGGGCCCGCGUCGGAUUAGGUAGUCGGUGGGGUAACGGCUUACCAAGCCUGUGAUCCGUAGCUGGUCUGAGAGGAUGAUCAGCCACACUGGGACUGAGACACGGCCCAGACUCCUACGGGAGGCAGCAGUGGGGAAUAUUGGACAAUGGGCGCAAGCCUGAUCCAGCAAUGCCGCGUGAGUGAUGAAGGCCUUCGGGUUGUAAAGCUCUUUCGCACGCGAGGAUGAUGACGCUAGCGUGAGAAGAAGCCCGGCUAACUUCGUGCCAGCAGCCGC